GUCGGACGGGAUUGAGGAGCUUGCUUCUCAUGAGAGUGGCGCACGGGUGCGUAACACGUAUGUAACCCACCUUGUUCAGGGGGAUAGCCUCUCGAAAGAGAGAUUAACACCGCAUAAAAUCAAUUUAUGGCAUCAUAGAAUGAUCAAAUAUUUAUAGGAACAAGAUGGGCAUGCGGAACAUUAGCUAGUUGGUAAGGUAACGGCUUACCAAGGCUACGAUGUUUAGGGGAUCUGAGAGGAUGACCCCCCACACUGGUACUGAGACACGGACCAGACUCCUACGGGAGGCAGCAGUAAGGAAUAUUGGUCAAUGGACGCAAGUCUGAACCAGCCAUGCCGCGUGCAGGAAGACGGCCCUACGGGUUGUAAACUGCUUUUGUACCGGAAUAAACCUUUUCACGUGUGAGAAGCUGAAUGUACGGUAAGAAUAAGGAUCGGCUAACUCCGUGCCAGCAGCCGCGGUAAUACGGAGGAUCCAAGCGUUAUCCGGAUUUAUUGGGUUUAAAGGGUGCGUAGGUGGCCUAUUAAGUCAGGGGUGAAAGACGGUAGCUUAACUAUCGCAGUGCCUUUGAUACUGAUGGGCUUGAAUACACUUGAGGUAGGCGGAAUGUGACAAGUAGCGGUGAAAUGCAUAGAUAUGUCACAGAACACCAAUUGCGAAGGCAGCUUACUAAAGUGUUAUUGACACUGAGGCACGAAAGCGUGGGGAUCAAACAGGAUUAGAUACCCUGGUAGUCCACGCCCUAAACGAUGAAUACUCGAUGUUGGCGAUAUACGGUCAGCGUCUAAGCGAAAGCGUUAAGUAUUCCACCUGGGGAGUACGCCCGCAAGGGUGAAACUCAAAGG
rnacentral:rRNA from 1 species